GACAGGCCUGAGAUCAGUCUAUAAGGGGAAUUAGUUGGACAGGCCUGAGUUCGCUAUCUAAGGUGAAUGAGUUGGACAGGCCUGAGAUCAGUCUAUAAGGUGAAUGAGUUGGACAGGCCUGAGAUCAGUCUAUAAGGUGAAUGAGUUGGACAGGCCUGAGAUCAGUCUAUAAGGGGAAUUAGUUGGACAGGCCUGAGAUCAGUCUAUAAGAUGAAUGAGUUGGACAGGCCUGAGAUCAGUCUAUAAGGUGAAUGAGUUGGACAGGCCUGAGAUCAGUCUAUAAGGGGAAUGAGUUGGACAGGCCUGAGAUCAGUCUAUAAGAUGAAUGAGUUGGACAGGCCUGAGAUCAGUCUAUAAGGUGAAUGAGUUGGACAGGCCUGAGAUCAGUCUAUAAGGGGAAUUAGUUGGACACCCCUGAGUUCGCUAUCUAAGGGGAAUGAGUUGGACAGGCCUGAGAUCAGUCUAUAAGAUGAAUGAGUUGGGACAGGCCCGAGAUCAGUCUAUAAGGGGAAUUAGUUGGACACCCCUGAGUUCGCUAUCUAAGGGGAAUGAGUUGGACAGGCCUGAGAUCAGUCUAUAAGGGGAAUGAGUUGGACAGGCCUGAGAUCAGUCUAUGAGAUGAAUGAGUUGGGACAGGCCUGAGAUCAGUCUAUAAGAUGAACGUCACUAGACGUCCCGUUUAACGGAUUCCCUUUAUGAUCACAACACCUCAGCACACCUGGAUACACAGGACACCUUUACACACACCUGGUGAGAGUGGACACUUCUGGACACCUUUACACACAGCUGGUGAGAGUGGACACUUCUGGACACCUUUACACACACCUGGUGAGAGUGGACACAUCUAGACACCUGGUGACUCAUCUGGAUUAAUCUAGACACCUGGUGACCCAUCUGGAUUAAUCUAGACACCUGGUGACCCACCUGGAUUAAUCUAGACACCUGGUGACUCAUCUGGAUGAAUCUAGACACCUGGUGACUCAUCUGGAUUAAUCUAGACACCUGGUGACUCAUCUGGAUUAAUCUAGACACCUGGUGACUCAUCUGGACAAUUCUGGACACCUGGUGACUCAUCUGGAUUAAUCUAGACACCUGGUGACACCUGGACACAUCUAGACACCACCUGGUGACCCAUCUAGACACCUGGUGACUCAUCUGGACACAUCUAGACACCUGGUGACCCAUCUGGAUUAAUCUAGACACCUGGUGACUCAUCUGGAUUAAUCUAGACACCUGGUGACCCAUCUAUAUUAAUCUAGACACCUGGUGACCCAUCUAGACACCUGGUGACCCAUCUGGAUUAAUUUAGACACCUGGUGACCCAUCUGGAUUAAUCUAGACACCUGGUGACACCUGGACACAUCUAGACACCUGGUGACCCAUCUGGAUUAAUCUAGACACCUGGUGACCCAUCUGGAUUAAUCUAGACACCUGGUGACACCUGGACACAUCUAGACACC
ensembl:lncRNA